rnacentral:rRNA from 1 species
UACGGGGGGAGCAAGCGUUGUUCGGAUUUACUGGGCGUAAAGGGCGCGUAGGCGGUCAGCACAAGUCAGUUGUGAAAUCUCCGAGCUUAACUCGGAAAGGUCAACUGAUACUGUGCGACUAGAGUGCAGAAGGGGCAACUGGAAUUCUCGGUGUAGCGGUGAAAUGCGUAGAUAUCGAGAGGAACACCUGCGGCGAAGGCGGGUUGCUGGGCUGACACUGACGCUGAGGCGCGAAAGACUAGGGGAGCGAACGGG